GACGAACGCUGGCGGCGUGCUUAACACAUGCAAGUCGAACGGAAAGGCCCCUUUGGGGGUCCUCGAGUGGCGCACGGGUGAGUAACACGUGAGUAACCUGCCCUUGACUUCGGGAUAACUUCAGGAAACUGGGGCUAAUACCGGAUAGGAAUCCUUGCUGCAUGGUGGGGGUUGGAAAGCUUCGGCGGUUUUGGAUGGACUCGCGGCUUAUCAGCUUGUUGGUGGGGUAGUGGCUUACCAAGGCUUUGACGGGUAGCCGGCCUGAGAGGGCGACCGGCCACAUUGGGACUGAGAUACGGCCCAGACUCCUACGGGAGGCAGCAGGGGGGAAUAUUGCACAAUGGGCGGAAGCCUGAUGCAGCAACGCCGCGUGCGGGAGGACGGCCUUCGGGUUGUAAACCGCUUUCAGCAGGGGCGAAGCUUGUGGUGACGGUACCUGCAGAAGAAGCACCGGCUAACUACGUG
rnacentral:rRNA from 1 species